UACGGAGGGUGCAAGCGUUAUCCGGAUUCACUGGGUUUAAAGGGUGCGUAGGUGGGUUUGAAAGUCAGUGGUGAAAUCUCCGGGCUCAACCCGGGAACUGCCAUUGAUACUACAGGUCUUGAAUUUUCUGGAGGAUAGCGGAAUAUGUCAUGUAGCGGUGAAAUGCUUAGAUAUGACAUAGAACACCAAUUGCGAAGGCAGCUAUCUACAGGGAUAUUGACACUGAGGCACGAAAGCGUGGGGAUCAAACAGG
rnacentral:rRNA from 1 species